UGCGUAGGCGGGCUAAUAAGUCAGUGGUGAAAUCUUCCGGCUCAACCGGGAACCUGCCAUUGAUACUGUUAGUCUUGAGUUCGGUUGAGGUAGGCGGAAUGUGUAAUGUAGCGGUGAAAUGCUUAGAUACUACACAGAACACCAAUUGCGUAGGCAGCUUACUAGACCGACACUGACGCUGAGGCACGAAAGCGUGGGGAGCGAACAGGAUUAGAUACCCUGGUAGUCC
rnacentral:rRNA from 1 species